GACGAACGCUGGCGGCGUGCUUAACACAUGCAAGUCGAACGGAAAGGCCCUGCUUUUGUGGGGUGCUCGAGUGGCGAACGGGUGUGUAACACGUGAGUAACCUGCCCUUGACUUUGGGAUAACUUCAGGAAACUGGGGCUAAUACCGGAUAGGAGCUCCUGCUGCAUGGUGGGGGUUGGAAAGUUUCGGCGGUUGGGGAUGGACUCGCGGCUUAUCAGCUUGUUGGUGGGGGAGUGGCUUACCAAGGCUUUGACGGGUAGCCGGCCGGAGUGGGUGACCGGCCACAUUGGGACUGGGAUACGGCCCAGACUCCUACGGGAGGCAGCAGUGGGGAAUAUUGCACAAUGGGCGGAAGCCGGAGGCAGCAACGCCGCGUGCGGGAUGACGGCCUUCGGGUGGUAAACCGCUUUCGCCGGUGACGAAGCGUGAGUGACGGUAAUGGGUAAAGAAGCACCGGCUAACUACGUG
rnacentral:rRNA from 1 species